rnacentral:rRNA from 1 species
UACGUAGGGACCAAGCGUUGUUCGGAUUUACUGGGCGUAAAGGGCGCGUAGGCGGCAAUUCAAGUCAUCUGUGAAAUCUCCGGGCUUAACUCGGAACGGUCAGAUGAUACUGCUUUGCUAGAGUGCGGAAGGGGCAAUCGGAAUUCUCGGUGUAGCGGUGAAAUGCGUAGAUAUCGAGAGGAACACCUGAGGUGAAGACGGGUUGCUGGGCCGACACUGACGCUGAGGCGCGAAAGCUAGGGUAGCAAACGGG